rnacentral:rRNA from 1 species
GGCUCAGAGCGAACGUUUGCGGCGGGCCUAACACAUGCAAGUCGAACGCACUAGCAAUAGUGAGUGGCGCACGGGUGCGUAACACGUGGGUAAUCAACCCUUCAGCUUGGGAUAACGACUUGAAAGGGUCGCUAAUACCGGAUACGGCGCGGGAGGCUUCGGCUUCUCACGAGAAAGCCUCGCAAGGGGCACUGAAGGACGAGCCUGCGGCCCAUCAGCUAGUUGGUGAGGUAAGAGCUCACCAAGGCGAAGACGGGUAGCUGGUCUGAGAGGAUGAUCAGCCACACUGGAACUGAGACACGGUCCAGACUCCUACGGGAGGCAGCAGUGGGGAAUAUUGCGCAAUGGGCGAAAGCCUGACGCAGCCACGCCGCGUGAGCGAUGAAGGCCUUCGGGUCGUAAAGCUCUGUGGGGAGAGACGAAGAAAGCCCGUGAAGAGCGGGCCUUGACGGUAUCUCCUUAGCAAGCACCGGCUAACUCCGUG